UUUCUUCUUGAAGACCCCACGCACAUCUCUAUCCCUGCAGCUCACCCCUCCACCGCCACUGCUCUCUCUUUCCGAUGUGAUUGACCACCGCCUUGCCGCUCUGGACCGAGCCCUCUUGAAGGCUCCCGUAAGAUUUCCACCGCCAUAUGUAUGUAUCUAUAAAAAGCUCUUCUCCCGCCAUCAAGACCAUCCCUACAGCCCCCCCUCUCGUUGCCUCUCCAUCUACCCCAAUUCUCCACCUCCGCAGGUUCGUUCCACUUCUUGCCCGGCGAGCGCGACCACAUUGGAGGUGGUUCUCCCUCGGAUGGCGCUUCCUCUUCCGGCGUUGUGCAUCCGUUUUGCGCGGUGCUUGGCGGCGGCGAUGAGAGGGCUGGGAGGCGCAGCAAGAGAAAGAGUGAGGCUCUUAUUGAUAGAGGAGGUCACGGCUGGAAACCAUGUGGACAGGGAGGCGGCUCUUCCACGACACGGCCUCCUAGCCUCAACGCCAUGUCCAGCCUCAAGCCGUCUUACGCAUCCGGGCGGCGGCGGCCCUCGACCAGCACGUGAAAGACGGGCUGGGCGGUUGUCCCGUACUCCCGAGAUGUGGUGAUUUCGGAUCGAGCGCGCCCCACAUCCUGGCUUGGCGAGCCAACGACCGGCUGGAACCGUCGUCGUGGCCAUAUAUCGAUGUACCCCUUGAUCGUACUUAUGUGCGUCAUUGCUUCCCGUGCCUAUUUCCACGGUUGUUCUUCCGUGUAUCACGGACCUCCCAGGAUGGUCGAUGCGUUCUUCGAUGGCCAGACUAUCCACGUCAAGCAGAGGUCGUUAUCUGGCGGUGCGUCUACACAUCCAAGCACAUGUUGUAGACUCCGGUCGUCGUUCCACUUACUCCUAUGCGGAAUGUUCAGCGCGUUUAUGCUGCAUGGAAGCAUUGGAAGCAAGAAAUUCUUCAUAGCCGACAUGCCGAGGCGCCCCUGCUCCUUGCCCCUCCGCCUCGGCGUCAACUGCAGGAUGGCGAUUACGCGAUGGCUGCCUCUUCUUCUCUCUACGUCGACUGCCCUGUCGCCCACGCUGCGUCGCGUGCUUCUGCCUUUGGGGGGCCUCCUGCUGCGUCACGUGUGUGCGCGGGUCGCGUGCUGCCGCUGCAGCAUGUGUGAUGAUGUGUACCUUUGUGCGUGUGUGGGUGCUUCGUUCUAGGCUUGUGUGUUGCCAGAUGUGUUUGCAUCAAAUUUGAUGACCAGCCUAACCCCAAGUCUGACCUGAUGCCUGAAACAUGAAGCUACCUGCAAGAAGUUCGAUUCAGAAGCUUGCAAAUGUUCAAAAUUCAGAAUAUUCAGAACAGAGCAAAACAGAGAAGGCAAAGAAGGAACGACCAGGAUGCAAGCUUAUCCGACCACUCACUUCUAUGAUUUACAAUCUUGCUUAGUCAGUGUUCAAAUUAUUGUAAUGUUUACGCCUAGAAAGUCUUAACUAUAUAAACCGUGUAUAACCACUGUAAAAUCACUGCCUCUUCAAUAUAAAGGGCAGCCCAGAGGUUGCAAGUUUCAGAACUUGAAUGUUGUACACCAGACUGCAAAAUUUGGGAAACUCCUAAGCAUGAGUAUGUCAAUAUAUUCUCUUGCUGAAAUUUGGUUACUAUACAAGAAAAGUUCUAAUCAUGUAGGUAUACAUGUUAUAGGUUUGCUCUAUUGUUUUUUUAUUUUGUGUUCGGCUUCCUGACUGAUAAUAUGUGUUCUGCUGCAGCUAGUGUACAAGUCAACAAUAUGUUUGCACUGAUUGAUAUUUUUCGGAUUGCUGUUGCUUCUUGAGUCCGAUGGUUCAUGGAGCAGCUGACGUUGAUCCCCUUCCAUAUGAUGCAGUGGACAUGAGCAUGGUCAUGCAGACUAAGUGCAAGCCAGGAAGAUCGAGACUGGGUCUUGAUUCAGGAGAAAGGGGCUUUGUUGAUCAAUUGUGGGUCAUCAGUGUUUAUUUUAAUUGGCGUGCUCAAGUUCCCUGCCAGUUGAGCGUUAAUACCAAGGACGGGAAAUGCUUCAGGUCCAAGUCGCAAUGUCCGCAGGAAAUUUGAUGCAAUACUCAGCUUGAGUUCCUUCAGAAAAUUUGUUUCGGUAAUUAGCCUUUAUUCCCCAUUUAAAAGCUCCAGUAUUUUUUUAUUCUAGCCAUGUGUCCGUCUCCAAUUACUCAAGAAGAGCCGAGGAUGAGAUCAUGGAGGUUGACACCAGUACAUGUAAAGUCGGUGCAUACCUGAGAUUUUUUGCUCAGAAAUGUGCACGAAAUGUUGGGUUUACCCUAUUAUUAUUUUUGAUCUGGAACAGAAUCAUCACUAUUAUAUACAAUUAUUUACAUUCCUAACCAACAAUAACUUUUAAACAAUUUCACUUCGUCAAGAUGGUACCUUUGGACAUAGUUUAUAUUCAGUCCAUGAAAUCAGUUUUGAACAAGUCUGUAUCAUGUGAUCUAUCAGAGGUAGUUAUGUUAUCAUGGCAUUCAGGUAGAUUUCUUUUUUGAUGUCUUCACCAUGAAUAAUAGAAGAGAUGCAGAACUAGCUAGAUGCUUCACAUA